CAACUUUGUGACAUUCAAAUGCAAAGAAUAUAGCUGAAUAAAUAGAUAACAUAAACAUAACCACACUCAAGGAGAUAGCAUCCAUAUUAACAGACUACUCCAAAUCAAGAUAUGCACAUAUAAAUAGACAUUUCAGCAAGGGGUUAUUUGAUAUUUUUUUCCUUUUUAAACCAUCACUACCUCUGUGCCUGAUAAUACCAGAUAUUUAACGUGUGUUUUUCACUAAUUCAGCAGAAAAAAAGCCACCAGGUCUGAGAUCCACUGGGAUUUGCCUGGAUCACAAGGUGUCAGCUGUUGCUGAGGCUCAGUGGAGGUUAGGGGAAUAGAGAAUGAAUGGUGCAAGAGUGGCAGAAAAAAUGCCUGCUAGACCUUGAUUAGGUCAGGGAAUAUUCCUUUUGGUUUAA